UCAUGUUUCCUAAUAAGUUUUACCGGACAUAAUUGUGGUUUUGAUAAGAUUACUUGCGUCAGAAGUUAAUUAAUUGCAUUAUUUAUUUGAAGGGUGACGGUUCGGAGCAUAAAACAUCAAACAUUAGACAGAAAAAUAUGAAAAAUUUUAUUUUGAUUUUCUCGAUAAUUUUUCUUCUCAGCCAGAUUGUCAAAACUGAGAAUGAAAAUAUUAAUAAUGGAGAAUCCAUUUUCGACAAAAAUGGAGAAAUUACUGAGAUGACUACUGUGGAAAUCAUAGGAACUUUCGAAAAUAAUCAGGAAUCUUCUGAGAUGACAACAGAAGAAAUCAUUGGAACUUAUUAUGUAGAAUUUGGCGAAACUCGUUAAAUCUCCAACUAAAGCUAGUUCCAAUCAACAUAUUUUGUUUUUACAUUGUUUUCAUUAAGGAAAAUAAACAAAUUAAUGCUGUCUGAA